CAGACGUUGAAAUUGCAAUAUGGCCACUGGAUACUUGUGCAUUCUGCUGUUUUCUGCAAUGCUUGCAGCUCAUUUAAUAUCCGCGCAAGACAACGACGACGAAGGCAGCAGUAGUGAUUGGUGGGGCUCCAUUUCCGAAAACCACUCCAGGAGCGGAAUCAGGAAACGGCAAAUUAAUAUUUUGGUCCCAAAAGGCAUCUGUGAUUACAACUCUGAGCCUGACUGGGGUUGUUUCAACUCUACUAGUCGACAAUUCUGUACGAAGAACAAUCUAUUGUAUAUUUUUGACUGCACCGUUGACAAACCUUUCUGUAGCCAUGGUUUAUGCUCCGCAAUUCUAAUUGUCUCGCAUAAGUAGAAAAUUUUUAAUAUGAAAUACAUGGAAAAGGUCUUGGCCAGCUUCAUUACCUAGUAGUCUGUUGAACUUAAAAUAUUUAGAAAUGUAAUAUAUGCAUAUUGCACAGUAGUGAUUGAUUAAUGUAUAAAUAAAAAUAUAACUAUUCAGUGA